CCUACGGGGGGCAGCAGUGGGGAAUAUUGGACAAUGGGGGCAACCCUGAUCCAGCCAUGCCGCGUGUGUGAAGAAGGCCCUCGGGUUGUAAAGCACUUUCAGUGAGGAAGAACGCCUGGUGGUUAAUACCCAUCAGGAAAGACAUCACUCACAGAAGAAGCACCGGCUAACUCCGUGCCAGCAGCCGCGGUAAUACGGAGGGUGCGAGCGUUAAUCGGAAUUACUGGGCGUAAAGCGCGCGUAGGUGGCUUGAUAAGCCGGUUGUGAAAGCCCCGGGCUCAACCUGGGAACGGCAUCCGGAACUGUCAAGCUAGAGUGCAGGAGAGGAAGGUAGAAUUCCCGGUGUAGCGGUGAAAUGCGUAGAGAUCGGGAGGAAUACCAGUGGCGAAGGCGGCCUUCUGGACUGACACUGACACUGAGGUGCGAAAGCGUGGGUAGCAAACAGGAUUAGAUACUCUGGUAGUC
rnacentral:rRNA from 1 species